rnacentral:misc_RNA from 1 species
CCGAGUGAGGGCCCCUGGCCCGACCUCCAACCCUUUGUUAUCAAAACCACUGUUGCCUCGGGGGCGACCCGGGCCUGUCGGCCCAGGGCCCCCGACGGACAAUUUCAAAACACUGCAUCUUUGCGUCGGAUUAAAAAGUUUAAUUGAUUA